rnacentral:snRNA from 1 species
UUGCUUUGGCAGCACACAGACUAAAAUUGGAACAAGACAAAGAAGAGCAUGGCCCCUGCACAAGGAUGACACCCAAAUUCAUGAAGCAGUCCAUAUUUAA